ACUGGCUUUGGCCACUGUGGCUUUGUACGUGGCCCCGGGCUAGACUGGGCAUCCAGCGCUGCCAGGAACCUCAGCUCACGGCUCACGUCUGUGUUGAAGGGUGAAAGCCAGGCGUCCGCACAC
ensembl:snoRNA